rnacentral:lncRNA from 1 species
AAAAAUAGAAAAUCAGUGAAGCAAAAUGUGAAAAAAUAAAAAUCAAAUGAAGAAUAAUAAAAGAGAAUUUUAAAAAUUAUUUUGGGAUAUUUUGGAUAAAAAAUGAACUUACUAUUAAUUUUAAAAGAAAAAGAAAUUAAAAAUAAUAAAAAAAAAAGAAUUAAAAUUAGAAAAAAUACUGAGCAUUGGAUCACACCUCAUUAAUUGACGUGACAUAUCCAACACACGACAUGUUAAAGAACAC